GGCUACUUCUAUUUAAUUUGUAGUAUACACUUGUGGUUGAUCUCACACGUGUGAUUUCAGUUGUUGAUCUGUUGAAGCACGACCAUUAUUAUUACACAACAAAUGCAAGCAAAAUGCCCCCUCUUCCUCUCUUGUUCAUCAGGCUCGUAUCACCAAUCCACCUACUAACCUAGAUCAAGAUUCCAUAUCCCUCUACAGAGCUUCCACUCACCAAACCCUAUCUGUCCAUUUAUCCAGACCUUCCACUGUUCCACACUUCUCCUCCUCCCUUCACCUCCACGGCUAGCUCAACCGACCCGGCAAGCUCCGUCCAUGGCGUCCACUACCAGUGAGAGCCUCCCCUCCUCCCCCUCCCUCCCCGCCACCGCAGCCGGCCUCGACGCAGCCGCCGACCAAGAGUUCUCCUCCCACCACCGCCACCAUCACUACCACAGCCUCUUUCUCCCCUCCUCCUCCCCUGCCAGCCUAUACCUCGACUCCUCCUUCCAUGGUCUACUCCCCACCUCCUCCUCCACCGCCAUGUCGUCCCCUUCCCCUCCACCGCCGCCGGCGCCGCUGCUCCCUCCACAGCCGGCGCCGUCAAAGCCGCCCAAGAAGCGCCUGAGAGCCUCCCGCCGGCCGCCCACCACCGUUCUCACCACCGACACCUCCAACUUCCGCGCCAUGGUGCAAGAGUUCACCGGCUUCCCGGCGCCGCCCUUCGCCGCCGCGCCGCCGCCUGCCGUCCGCCCGCGCCUCCUCGGCGGCCCGCCUUUCCUGAUGCGCCCGUCUCCUCUCAAGUACCCUGUGCUACUGCCCCCGAGCACUUGCACCACCACCCUAGCUAACACCACCAUGAAUACUACCGGUAACAGCACUCUCGUGGACGCGCUCGCGCUGUUCGCGAAGAGCAACGUGAUGCCAAGCGGCGCCGCAGCCGCAACGACGUCGGGCGGAUCAAGUGCGGCUGAUCUCUACCACGGCAUCAGCAUGGGAGGGUUCAACCCGUUCGACGAUUUCGAUGCAUCGGCCGCGGCGCCGGAAGGCGAUAGGGUGACUGGCGGCGCCGGGCAUGACUUCUUCUCCUCCUUCGCUGCCGGAGACAAGUACGGCCGGCACUAGUACGUAAUUGAUCUCUCUCUGGUAAUUUGGUGUGCUCAUGAGAGAGCUAGCUUGUGUGGAGAGAUGGAGGAGAAGCUGAGCUAAUGCUUGCCUAGCUUUUACAAUUUGGCCACUACUACUACUACUUGGCAUUUGGCAGCCGGUUAAUUUAUUGAAAAAUGCAUUGCCGUGAUGAAACUUGUAAAGGAGGUGAAGGCUAUUUUGUUCGGCUUCCAUCGCUAUUAGCAAGUGUGUCCUUGUCGAGAUGAGAUGAAAUGAUAAGACUCCUUUUUCGACUCUCUUUUCCUUCCUUUCGGUUCUGGAUGUAAAUGCCGUACUGUGAAAGAUAUGG